AACGAACGCUGGCGGCAUGCCUUACACAUGCAAGUCGAACGGCAGCACGGGAGCAAUCCUGGUGGCGAGUGGCGAACGGGUGAGUAAUAUAUCGGAACGUGCCCGGUCGUGGGGGAUAACGUAGCGAAAGCUACGCUAAUACCGCAUACGAUCUACGGAUGAAAGCGGGGGAUCGCAAGACCUCGCGCGAUUGGAGCGGCCGAUAUCAGAUUAGGUAGUUGGUGAGGUAAAGGCUCACCAAGCCGACGAUCUGUAGCUGGUCUGAGAGGACGACCAGCCACACUGGGACUGAGACACGGCCCAGACUCCUACGGGAGGCAGCAGUGGGGGAAUUUUUGGACAAUGGGCGCAAGCCUGAUCCAGCAAUGCCGCGUGCAGGAU
rnacentral:rRNA from 1 species